GUGCUUAGGUUGGUAAUAUAUAUACUUACGUUGGAAUGAUAUAGAAAAGAUUAGAAUGGCCUCUGUGCAAGGAUGAUAUACAUAUUUCUGAAACAGUCCAUAUCUUU
ensembl:snRNA U6 U6 spliceosomal RNA